AGCAUGGCUGGCUGGGGAAUUCUGGGAAUUGAAGUCCUCCCAUCUUAAAGUGGCCAAGGUUGAGAAACCCUGGGGCAGAGGAAGGAACACUCAGAAACCACGAAUGCCUGAAAAGUACAGUAAAAAUCAGCUUGGUGGCUCUGUGGCUCGUGGCCACAGCUGUAGAAAUUGGUGGCUCUGCAGAGAAGCCAUUCACGCCUGGGACACCGACGUUUCUGGGCUCUUUGCGUGCCAGCAGCAGUCCAGGAGCGCCUUGCACAGGACUGGCACCCUGCUGAAUGCAUUUUAUUGGGAAAAUCCACGGGCACCCGUGGAACCGGCAGGGAACGGUCCAAAAAGUCAAGGUGUGAUCGCCGCGCAUAAAAAACAGGCAGAGAUUCAAUCGUGCUGUCGGGGCCACCAUUUUGACUUUCUGGACUAUACCCUGCGGACUCCCGAUGAGAACCACGCAGACGUGGGACAGAGCCGGCGACCCAUUCGGAGAACGGAGAGGCCAGAAGCUGUGGUUGAAUAGAAGGACGCCUGCCGUCGGGGGUCAAAGAAGUCAAGAUGGCAGCCAAGGCCGUGCCAUUGGAGCCCCGCCCCUUUUUGGCAUGGCGAGGCCUGCAAAAAAGGUGGGCGUGUCCCAGCUUGACAGUAUCACGAUGCACUUCUGGAUCUGGGUGUGCAAAACACCCACCCAAUCCCUGAAGAAGUUUUGCACGCACACACGGCACAUACCCUAAAUUCGGACGGGGGAGGAGGUAGUAGCGAAAAGACGAAAAUAACUAUUUAUUGGUAUAGCCGCCCAGAGUCUUUUGGAGGGGCAGCCAUACCAGUGUAAGAAGUGAAAUAAUAAUACAUUUAGUGACCAAGGAGAAAGAGCGGGGGAGCUCCCCUGGGGCUAGCCAGCUUGUGUAACAGUGGUUUAGUGCCUAAAACCCUGGAAACUAACCAUGGCUUCCGGUGGCCUCCUUGGAAGAACCAACCUUCUCCGAUUUUCCCACUUGCUCAGAACAAGACGAGUUUCACUCUGGCCAAGGAAGGGGGGGCCCUGAGAGAUGGGGGCCCCGUGGAUUUGGGGGCAAGGGAGAGGCAGCUUAGCCCACCCUGGGGAAGGGAAUCCUGUAUGUGUCUUAAAGCAUGUUUUCUCAACCUCGGCAACUUUAGGAUGGGUGGACUUCAACUCCCAGAAAUUUUGGGAGUUGAAGUCCACCCAUCUUAAAGUUGCCGAGGUUGAGAAACACCGUCUUAAGACAUUCUCUUAAGGUUCUAGUCCUCAAGAGACGGCAGCAGGGAGAGCCAAGAGGUCCAGGGAAAGCAAAGACGGCGUUUCCUGAGGGUGCCAACGAAGACCCUGCCCUGGAGACCUUCCAGCCCAGGCCAGCGAGCCAUCUGUCCAAAAUGCUUUGUUGGGGGGGGGUUGGACUAGAUGACUUUGGAGGGCUCUUUCUUUCGGACAAGGGAGGGAAAGUCAGCCAGACACCACUGGAGCAAUUUCCCAGUCCCCGUCCCCCUCUGGCUCUAACUUUCCCCACCGGACAGGCGUUUCCGGCCGGGCCACGGUCCUCUUUCCUCGGGGUACGUGCCAAUUCCCUUCUUCCAGUGGCGCCCUGGCUUCUCUCUGGACGGCUACUCUGUCCACCCGCCUUCCGGCCCCGACCUCCUUUCCCAGAGAUGCCAGGCGCGCCUUUCCAACCAUGGACGGCCAUCCUCAAACCCUCUCAACUUCAACCUCCUUCUCUCACGCGUCUCCUGCCUCUGACCUCUGCAACAACUCCGCUCCCUGCCAAGCACCCCCCCCAAAAAAAGUUGGGGGGGAAGUCACACUCCUCGAGUCCCUGCUGGCUCCUGCGCCACCCCUGCCCACUGGCACCCUUGCGUCCCCCAACGUCCUGGAGCAUUUCCUGCCGCACAGAGCUAACUUUCCCGCAGCUGGGAUUGGCUGCAUUCACUGACUUCCAAGGCCCGCUGUUCGCUGCAGCAGCCCAGCUGGGGAAGAUGGUGGGGAGCCAGCGAAGACGGGCAUGCAAUUUGCUCCCCCUCGUUUCAGACAUGCCAGCUUUCCCCAAAGCGUUGCCAGCGGCGUUUCCCAAGGACCGCAGCCACGUCAGUCCUCCAGUUCUGUCUCCCAGACACAUCUUCAGCAUCUGUUACCAGCUGUUUGUGGCAAAGGAUGGGCACAGUGCCAACCCCUCGCCAUGGGCUGCCUGGAUCCCUUAUCUGCCCCACAGACCCUCCCUCAACAGCAGAGGUGAACCCUAUGGCUAAAGCAGGGUUUCUCAACCUUGGCAACUUUAAGCAUUCUCCUAAGGUUCUAGUCCUCAAGAGACAGGAGCAGGGAGACCUCGCCUCAAUCCCCCCCCAAAUCUUGUACACUCCCAAACCUAGUCUCAUUCCCCGACUGCAAACAAGGGGAGGGCUGGGGGUCUGCUGGGCAAGGGGAAAAUGCUUUUGACCUACGGGCCAAGGGCCCAGUAUGGCACGAGACCACCGAGUCAGUUCGGGAACCACUCGUGUGGACGGAGGGGACGCAAACUAGGCAUGCAGAGCAGAGUUUCCAGCAACGGCUUUCCUUCAGCUCUCUUCCAAGCCAGCAACAGGGGUGUUUGGGGGGGGGCUGGGGGAUUGCAAGACCCCGCCGAGACCACCUUGUUGGGAUGGCCAAGGCCCCUCGCUUGGACUCCUGUCCCCUUCUGCAGAUGAUCUCAGCUGGCAAUGGCAGGAAGAAACCCACGUUGAUCUUUGCUCACAACCGUGGCCACAUCGCCAUCGUGUCACCAGGAGCUUCCGGUUCCCCAGAGUGUUGGGCAUGUCCACGGCCCAGGCUCCUUCCGCCAUUUUGCACUUGGCGGGGAUCUGGGAACCCAAAGGCAGUCUACGUGGCUGCAUUCAGGCUACGGCCCACAGCCCACGCGGUACCUUGGACCAUCUUUUGUCACCCCAAGCUAUUCCGACGUUCCACCCGUUCAGAGAUGCCGGUCGUGGCCGGCUCCUGCCCAGACGACGUUGCCGGGCCACCCCCGAAGGGUGCUGAAAAGCGGCAGAGGGUCUCCACCAUCUCAAUCGCUUCAGACAGUCGCAGCGCGCUCGGCCGGACAGGGACAUAAAUCCGCCAGACUCUUAUUAAUCAGGCUGCAGACUGGCCGAGCCGCUGUUCUGGUCAGGCGGAAGGGACCCGGCUCCUCCGCGUCUGAUUUGCAGAGGCUCUGACUUUAGGAGUCGCCAACGUCUUUGGAAUGGCUCCUGGGCUCUUAUCAGUUGCACGCUUGGUCGGUAUUCAGCGUGCAAAGCCUUUGCCCAUCUCUUCGUCCACGGCCUGCAAAGGACAAAUGCGGCUGACCGAAUUUCUGCCGGGUGGAAUGCAGCAAGAACAGCAGAGGAGCCCUGGCUGGUGGAAAAGGCUGGCAACCGCAGGGUUUCAGGCCCCUGUCCCUCUGCCCCCCACAGUUCUUCCUGUUCCUCGAGGUCUACAAACCCUGUGGAUCCGUGGGCCUCUCUAUCCACCCGACGGUGGAUGUGCAUGGAAAGGAGAACUGGAGAACUCCUCCCCAAUAAUGCAGCAGCUGAAAAGUGACACCAGGCCACGUCACCCUCCUUUGCCUGGGUCUGACGCCCCUCCUGCCAUUUUCACAGCACCCCAAGGGAAAGGCGCAACUGCUGAGGGGUGAAUCCGGUUUUGGGCCAUUAAUCAUCCCAAGGUGAGCACGGAGCCUCCUGCAAUUCCGGUUCCCGUUCGGAUGUGGCCCUGGGCCCCGGCUGGUGGCCUCCGAGGCCCUCAGAAAGAGGAUUUCAGCACGGUUGGGAGGGAGGCCCCUGCGCUUGUCCAGAGUUUCCAGCUCCUGGCGGCUGCUCAUUUUUUUCAACAUGGGGAUGAGGCCAUGCUGGGAGAGACCCACCGGGGAGAGGGCGAAAGAGAAGCCUGCCCGGGGCAGCGUGGUUUUGUGGGGGGAAAGAAUAGCAAGAAUUGUUUUUACGUUGAGUGAUAUGCGGGAGCCCUUGUGCCCCGUGGUUGGGCCCUUGUCCUUAAGUGUCUUUUUGGCACGGUCGGGCAUUUUGCCCUUGUAAAUGUUUCCAGCCAAGAAGGCCCCCCCGCCCCCUGGCGCAUCUUGGCAUCUGGCAUGGGCCAUCCUUUGCCGAGCGGGAAUCAACUGAGGGAGGGCUCUUCUAAAGUGAUUGCGUGCUUUGGGUGGUCUUUCUUCAGUGGCCCCUCGUGCUCCUCCUCCUUGGCCAGCCUCAAGUCUCAAAGUAUUUGUAGAUCUGGGCCACGUACUGCAUGACGCUUUGCCA